CCAUUUUCUUCAGCCUUCUUCAUCCUGCUCAGCGUGCUGGCAUUCGUUCCCCACCUGUAAGCUCAAACAAAAAUCACCCCCCUAAGUGCAUUUCAGAGCCGUUACUCUCCCUCUAUCUGCCUUCAUCCACCCUAUGAGUCGAUUGCAAGUUUCAGUUCUGUUUUUAAGGAACCCAUUGACGAACAUCUUGUCUUCCAGAGGAUCGAAAAAAAAUUGUGUCGAUGAUCAACUCCUCUCUUGUGGCGGCUCCAACCUGCAAAAACAGCUCCAUUCAGUGCACUUGGUCGCAAGUUCUGUGGGUUUGCUUGUUUGAUUCGAUGCCUGUGCAUUUGUUUGGGUAACUUCUUUGAAAACAGUCGAUGCUUUUUGUUGCUAAGUUGGUACCUUGGCAUCUUGGGGGCUAAGAAGCAGGAGCCUGCAUCCUCAUCAACUGCUGAACCUUCCAAAUCCGAAAAGGGCGGAAGAAAGAAGAGAUGGAUCCAAUAUUUUUUGAAUUCCCAAAGACAUCGCCAAAAGAAACCAUAAAAGAAAAAAUCAAUACUGUGACUACUAACAAGAAUUUUCCUUGUGGCAUCCAAAGCCUUGUGGGAAAGCAUAGAGUACUGUUAAAUAGGUUCUCGAUGGAUUGAGACAGCAGUUAAACUGCAGAACCUUUUAAUUGGUUUACCUAUUCGAUCUGGUUUUCUUGGCACAUUUUUGUUACAUGCUUGGACUAGCCCGAUCGAGUGCUUUGUUGUGUAAGCUAUUCCUGGCUUCGGCAAGCACUAGCUGCAGUUUGUCAUCUGGUUGAAAGGUUAUUUUAUAUGGGGGUGUAAGUAGUGGAUUGGGACGACUGUGUUGUUCCAGGCAGUUUAUUAGUGGCUAUGGUCUGUAACAUAUCAAAAAUAUUGUAAUUGAAAUUUAUAUCCUGUGCACAUUUGUUCAAACCCUA